AUACAUAGGGGGCGAGCGUUGUCCGGAAUGACUGGGCGUAAAGGGAGCGUAGGCGGUCAUGCAAGUUAUAUGUGAAAGCCCGGGGCUUAACCCCGGAACUGCAUGUAAAACUGCAUGGCUAGAGUGUGGGAGAGGAAAGUGGAAUUCCUAGUGUAGCGGUGGAAUGCGUAGAUAUUAGGAGGAACACCAGUGGCGAAGGCGGCUUUCUGGACCACAACUGACGCUGAGGCUCGAAAGCGUGGGGAGCAAACAGGAUUAGAUACCCUGGUAGUCCACGCCGUAAACGAUGGAUACUAGACGCAGGAGGUAUCGACUCCUACUGUGUCUGAAGCUAACGCAAUAAGUAUCCCGCCUGGGGAGUACGGCCGCAAGGUUGAA
rnacentral:rRNA from 1 species